AAGAGAAGCCUGGCAUUGCUGCUGUUACUUUGUGUUUCCUUUCCUUGGAGUGGGCUGCUUCCAGAUACCAGCCAAAAGCUUAAGUAUGUGUUUCCUGUUGUCCUGGGCUUUUCCCCUUUCUCUAGAUGUUCCCUCCUGUUUCCUACAGCAGCUUGCUGAUUUCCAUGCUUGAUAAAAAAAAAAAAAA